rnacentral:rRNA from 1 species
UACGAAGGGGGCUAGCGUUGUUCGGAAUUACUGGGCGUAAAGCGCACGUAGGCGGAUAUUUAAGUCAGGGGUGAAAUCCCAGAGCUCAACUCUGGAACUGCCUUUGAUACUGGGUAUCUUGAGUAUGGAAGAGGUAAGUGGAAUUCCGAGUGUAGAGGUGAAAUUCGUAGAUAUUCGGAGGAACACCAGUGGCGAAGGCGGCUUACUGGUCCAUUACUGACGCUGAUACGCGAAAGCGUGGGGAGCGAACCGG